rnacentral:rRNA from 1 species
UACAGAGGGUGCGAGCGUUAAUCGGAAUUACUGGGCGUAAAGCGUGCGCAGACGGUUAUGUAAGUCGGGUGUGAAAGCCCCGGGCUCAACCUGGGAAUUGCAUUCGAGACUGCAUAGCUAGGAUGCGGAAGAGGGAAGCGGAAUUUCCGGUGUAGCGGUGAAAUGCGUAGAUAUCGGAAGGAACAUCAGUGGCGAAAGCGGCUUCCUGGUCCAGCAUCGACGUUCAGGCACGAAAGCGUGGGGAGCAAACAGG